GACGAACGCUGGCGGCGUGCUUAACACAUGCAAGUCGAACGGAAAGGCCCUGCUUUUGUGGGGCGCUCGAGUGGCGAACGGGUGAGUAAAACGCGUGUAACCUGCCCCUGACUUUGGGAUAACACCAGGAAACUGGGGCUCAUACCGGAUAGGAGAUUCUGCUGCAUGGGGGGGGUUGGAAAGUUUCGGCGGUUGGGGAUGGUCUCGCGGCUUAUCAGCUUGUUGGUGGGGUAGUGCCUUACCAAGGCUUCGAAGGGUAGCCGGCCUGAGAGGGUGACCGGCCACAUUGGGCCUGCGAUACGCCCCAGACGCGUACGGGAGGCAACGGGCGGGAGUAUUGCGGAAUGGGCGGGAGCCAGAUACAGCAACGCCGCGAUCGGGAUGACGGCCUUCGGGUUGUAAACCGCUUUCGCCUGUGACGAAGCGUGAGUGACGGUAAUUGGUAAAGAAGCACCGGCUAACUACGUG
rnacentral:rRNA from 1 species